rnacentral:misc_RNA from 1 species
UGAGUUUGCAUAGGCUUCCUGCG